rnacentral:rRNA from 1 species
CCAGCCGAGCCUUGAGAGUGACUAGAACAUGCUGGAAAGCAUGGCCAUAGCGGGUGACAGCCCCGUAUAGGAAGCUCAAUGGGACGUAUUAAGUAGGGCGGAACACGUGAAAUUCUGUCUGAAGAUCGGAGGACCACCUUCGAAGGCUAAGUACUCCUUACUGACCGAUAGCGAACCAGUACCGUGAGGGAAAGGUGAAAAGCACCCCGACGAGGGGAGUGAAACAGUACCUGAAACCGGACGCCUACAAUCAGUCGGAGGCUCCUAGCGAGCUGACGGCGUACCUUUUGUAUAAUGGGUCAUCGACUUGGUCUCACGUGCAAGCUUAAGCCGUUAGGUGUAGGCGCAGCGAAAGCGAGUCUUAAUAGGGCGUCGAGUUCGUGGGAUCAGACCCGAAACCGAGUGAUCUAGGCAUGACCAGGAUGAAGGUUGGGUAACACCAACUGGAGGUCCGAACCCACACCUGUUGAAAAAGGUCGGGAUGAGUUGUGCCUAGGGGUGAAAGGCCAAUCAAACUCGGAGAUAGCUGGUUCUCCGCGAAAUCUAUUUAGGUAGAGCGUCAUCCGAAUACCCCGGGGGGUAGAGCACUGGAUGGGUAAUGGGGCCCCACAGGCUUACUGAUCCUAACCAAACUCCGAAUACCCGGGAGUACUAGAUGGCAGACAGACGGCGGAUGCUAACGUCCGUCGUCGAGAGGGAAACAACCCUGACCUCCAGCUAAGGCCCCCAAUUCAUGGCUAAGUGGGAAAGCAGGUGGGACGACCAUAACAACCAGGAGGUUGGCUUAGAAGCAGCCAUCCUUUAAAGAUAGCGUAACAGCUCACUGGUCUAAAUAAGUUGUCCUGCGGCGAAGAUGUAACGGGGCUCAAGCCAUGAGCCGAAGCUGAGGAUGCCGUAAGGCAUGGUAGCGGAGCGUAGUGUGACAUAGCUUCAUGCCUCUUUAGACUUCUCCGGAAGUCACUAGAGGCUCGAAGCUUUCUGUGAAGCCGGCGCGUGAGCGAUCCGGUGGAGAGAUCACUAGCGAGAAUGAUGACAUGAGUAGCGACAAGGAGUGUGAGAGACACUCCCGCCGAAAGUCCAAGGGUUCCUGCUUAAAGCUAAUCUGAGCAGGGUAAGCCGGCCCCUAAGGCGAGGCAGAAAUGCGUAGUCGAUGGGAACCAGGUUAAUAUUCCUGGGCCGUGUGGUGGUGACGGAUCACGGAUGUUGUUCGACCUUAUCGGAUUGGUCGGGCCGCUGAGUGGUCCCUGGAAAUAGCCCCACUUUAGGACCGUACCCUAAACCGACACAGGUGGACUGGUAGAGAAUACCAAGGCGCUUGAGAGAACGAUGUUGAAGGAACUCGGCAAAAUACCUCCGUAAGUUCGCGAGAAGGAGGCCCGGUUCCUAGGCAACUAGGGGCUGGGGGCACAAACCAGGGGGUGGCGACUGUUUACUAAAAACACAGGGCUCUGCGAAGUCGCAAGACGACGUAUAGGGUCUGACGCCUGCCCGGUGCCUGAAGGUUAAAAGGAGGGGUGAGAGCUCUGAAUUGAAGCCCAGGUAAACGGCGGCCGUAACUAUAACGGUCCUAAGGUAGCGAAAUUCCUUGUCGGGUAAGUUCCGACCUGCACGAAUGGCGUAACGACUUCCCCGCUGUCUCCAACAUCGACUCAGCGAAAUUGAAUUGCCUGUCAAGAUGCAGGCUUCCCGCGGUUAGACGGAAAGACCCCGUGCACCUUUACUACAGCUUCGCACUGGCAUCAGGAUUGUGAUGUGCAGGAUAGGUGGUAGGCUUCGAAGCAGAAACGCCAGUUUCUGUGGAGCCUCCCUUGAGAUACCACCCUUCGCACUCUUGAUGUCUAACCGCGGUCCAUCAUCUGGAUCCGGGACCCUGCGUGGCGGGUAGUUUGACUGGGGCGGUCGCCUCCUAAAGCGUAACGGAGGCGCGCGAAGGUUGGCUCAGAGCGGUCGGAAAUCGCUCGUUGAGUGCAAUGGCAGAAGCCAGCCUGACUGCGAGACUGACAAGUCGAGCAGAGACGAAAGUCGGCCAUAGUGAUCCGGUGGUCCCGAGUGGAAGGGCCAUCGCUCAACGGAUAAAAGGUACGCCGGGGAUAACAGGCUGAUACUGCCCAAGAGUCCAUAUCGACGGCAGUGUUUGGCACCUCGAUGUCGGCUCAUCUCAUCCUGGGGCUGGAGCAGGUCCCAAGGGUAUGGCUGUUCGCCAUUUAAAGAGGUACGUGAGCUGGGUUUAGAACGUCGUGAGACAGUUCGGUCCCUAUCUGCCGUGGGUGUAGGAUACUUGAGAGGAGUUGCCCCUAGUACGAGAGGACCGGGGUGAACGAUCCACUGGUGGACCAGUUGUUAUGCCAAUAGCAGUGCUGGGUAGCUAUGAUCGGACAGGAUAACCGCUGAAGGCAUCUAAGCGGGAAGCCCCCCUCAAAACAAGGUAUCCCUGAGGACCGUGGUAGACCACCACGUCGAUAGGCCGGAGAUGUAAGCAUGGUAACAUGUUCAGUUGACCGGUACUAAUGGUCCGAUAGGCUUGAUUUG